rnacentral:rRNA from 1 species
ACGGGGCGCAGCAGGCGCGAAACCUUUACACUGCACGCCAGUGCGAUAAGGGGACUCCGAGUGCGAGGGCAUACAGUCCUCGCUUUUCUGUACCGUAAGGUGGUACAGGAACAAGGGCUGGGCAAGACCGGUGCCAGCCGCCGCGGUAAUACCGGCAGCCCGAGUGAUGGCCGAUAUUAUUGGGCCUAAAGCGUCCGUAGCCGGCCGGACAAGUCCGUUGGGAAAUCCACGCGCUUAACGCGUGGGCGUCCGGCGGAAACUGUCCGGCUUGGGGCCGGAAGACCCGAGGGGUACGUCCGGGGUAGGAGUGAAAUCCCGUAAUCCUGGACGGACCGCCGGUGGCGAAAGCGCCUCGGGAGGACGGACCCGACGGUGAGGGACGAAAGCUAGGGUCUCGAACCGGAUUAGAUACCCGGGUAGUCCUAGCCGUAAACGAUGCUCGCUAGGUGUGGCGCAGGCUACGAGCCUGCGCUGUGCCGUAGGGAAGCCGUGAAGCGAGCCGCCUGGGAAGUACGUCCGCAAGGAUGAAACUUAAAGGAAUUGGCGGGGG